rnacentral:rRNA from 1 species
CCUACGGGUGGCAGCAGUGAGGAAUAUUGGUCAAUGGACGAGAGUCUGAACCAGCCAAGUAGCGUGAAGGAUGACUGCCCUAUGGGUUGUAAACUUCUUUUAUAUGGGAAUAAAAUGUUCCACGUGUGGGAUUUUGUAUGUACCAUAUGAAUAAGGAUCGGCUAACUCCGUGCCAGCAGCCGCGGUAAUACGGAGGAUCCGAGCGUUAUCCGGAUUUAUUGGGUUUAAAGGGAGCGUAGGUGGAGUGUUAAGUCAGUUGUGAAAGUUUGCGGAUCAACCGUAAAAUUGCAGUUGAAACUGGCAGUCUUGAGUACAGUAGAGGUGAGCGGAAUUCGUGGUGUAGCGGUGAAAUGCUUAGAUAUCACGAAGAACUCCGAUUGCGAAGGCAGUUCACUGGACUGCAACUGACACUGAGGCUCGAAAGUGUGGGUAUCAAACAGGAUUAGAUACCCUUGUAGUC